rnacentral:rRNA from 1 species
AGAAUAUUGGUCAAUGGACGAGAGUCUGAACCAGCCAAGUAGCGUGAAGGAUGACUGCCCUAUGGGUUGUAAACUUCUUUUAUACGGGAAUAAAGUGAGGCACGUGUGCCUUUUUGUAUGUACCGUAUGAAUAAGGAUCGGCUAACUCCGUGCCAGCAGCCGCGGUAAUACGGAGGAUCCGAGCGUUAUCCGGAUUUAUUGGGUUUAAAGGGAGCGUAGGCGGACGCUUAAGUCAGUUGUGAAAGUUUGCGGCUCAACCGUAAAAUUGCAGUUGAUACUGGGUGUCUUGAGUACAGUAGAGGCAGGCGGAAUUCGUGGUGUAGCGGUGAAAUGCUUAGAUAUCACGAAGAACUCCGAUUGCGAAGGCAGCUUGCUGGACUGUAACUGACGCUGAUGCUCGAAAGUGUGGGUAUCAAACAGGAUUAGAUACCCUGGUAGUCCACACAGUAAACGAUGAAUACUCGCUGUUUGCGAUAUACAGUAAGCGGCCAAGCGAAAGCGUUAAGUAUUCCACCUGGGGAGUACGCCGGCAACGGUGAAACUCAAAGGAAUUGACGGGGGCCCGCACAAGCGGAGGAACAUGUGGUUUAAUUCGAUGAUACGCGAGGAACCUUACCCGGGCUUGAAUUGCAACUGAAUGAUGUGGAGACAUGUCAGCCGCAAGGCAGUUGUGAAGGUGCUGCAUGGUUGUCGUCAGCUCGUGCCGUGAGGUGUCGGCUUAAGUGCCAUAACGAGCGCAACCCUUAUCGAUAGUUACCAUCAGGUUAUGCUGGGGACUCUGUCGAGACUGCCGUCGUAAGAUGUGAGGAAGGUGGGGAUGACGUCAAAUCAGCACGGCCCUUACGUCCGGGGCUACACACGUGUUACAAUGGGGGGUACAGAAGGCAGCUACACGGCGACGUGAUGCUAAUCCCGAAAGCCUCUCUCAGUUCGGAUUGGAGUCUGCAACCCGACUCCAUGAAGCUGGAUUCGCUAGUAAUCGCGCAUCAGCCACGGCGCGGUGAAUACGUUCCCG